rnacentral:rRNA from 1 species
AUCUCUUGGUUCCAGCAUCGAUGAAGAACGCAGCGAAAUGCGAUAAGUAAUGUGAAUUGCAGAAUUCAGUGAAUCAUCGAAUCUUUGAACGCACAUUGCGCCCCUCGGUAUUCCGAGGGGCAUGCCUGUCCGAGCGUCAUU